CCUACGGGUGGCAGCAGUGGGGAAUAUUGCACAAUGGUGGGAACCCUGAUGCAGCGACGCCGCGUGAGUGAAGAAGGAUCUCGGUAUUGACAGCCCUAUCAGCAGGGAAGAAAAUGACGGUACCUGACUAAGAAGCCCCGGCUAACUACUUGCAAGCAGCCGCGGUAAUACGGAGGGGGCAAGCGUUAUCCGGAUUUACGGGGUGUAAAGGGAGCGUAGACGGCAGAGCAAGUCUGAAGUGAAAGCCCGCGGCCCAACUGCGGGACUGCUUUGGAAACUGGCCGGCUAGAGUGCGGGAGAGGUAAGCGGAAUUCCUAGUGUAGCGGUGAAAUGCGUAGAUAUUAGGAGGAACACCAGUGGCGAAGGCGGCUUACUGGACACUAACUGACGUUGAGGCUCGAAAGCGUGGGGAGCAAACAGGAUUAGAUACCCCAGUAGUC
rnacentral:rRNA from 1 species